GACGAACGCUGGCGGCGUGCUUAACACAUGCAAGUCGAACGGAAAGGCCCUGCUUUUGUGGGGUUCUCGAGUGGCGAACGUGUGAGUAACACGUGAGUAACCUUCCCUUUACUUUGGGAUAACUUCAGGAAACUGGGGCUAAUACCGGAUAGGAGCUCCUGCUGCAUGGUGGGGUUUGGAAAGUUUCGGCGGUUGGGGAUGGACUCGCGGCUUAUCAGCUUGUUGGUGGGGUAGUGGCUUACCAAGGCUUUGACGGGUAGCCGGCCUGAGAGGGUGACCGGCCACAUUGGGACUGAGAUACGGACCAGACUCGUACGGGAGGCAGCAGUGGGGAAUAUUGCACAAUGGGCGGAAGCCUGAUGAAGCAACGCCGCGUGCGGGAUGACGGCCUUCGGGUUGUAAACCGCUUUCGCCUGUGACGAAGCGUGAGUGACGGUAAUGGGUAAAGAAGCACCGGCUAACUACGUG
rnacentral:rRNA from 1 species